GGAAUUUUCCGCAAUGGGCGCAAGCCUGACGGAGCAAUGCCGCGUGCGGGAUGAAGUAUCUCUGGUAUGUAAACCGCUGUCAGGGGGCAGAAACAAUGAUUGCCCCCAGAGGAAGUGGCGACUAACUCUGUGCCAGCAGUCGCGGUAAUACAGAGGCCACGAGCAUUAGUCGGAAUCACUGGGCUUAAAGGGUGCGUAGGUGGCUUGCCAAGUGCUUUGUGAAAUCCCACGGCUCAACCGUGGAACAGCAGGGCAUACUGGCAAGCUUGAGGCAAGUAGGGGCUGACGGAACAGUAGGUGGAGCGGUGAAAUGCGUAGAUAUCUACUGGAACGCCGAUGGUGAAGACGGUCAGCUGGGCUUGUCCUGACACUGAGGCACGAAAGCGUGGGGAGCAAACAGGAUUAGAUACCCCAGUAGUC
rnacentral:rRNA from 1 species